CUGUAAAAAAUUACUCUGGAGGGUGUUAAAUUUAACCCAUGAAAAUUAGUUAUAAUUUAAUUAAGUAUAUAAGCUAGCAAGUAAAAUAAAAAAUAAUGGGUAUAUUCUACCUUCACUAUCCAAUUUUUAACAGUAAUAACUGCAAUACUAAAAAAAUAAGUAACAUAUACCCCAAAAUAUUUGCCUUAGCACCGCAAAGUGCGCAUGAAUCAACAUCCAGGCGUGACUCGAGUCACCAUUUUUCAUAUCAUAUCGGCGGGAGAACUGCGGUUUGUUGACAGCGGAGCUGCUCAAUAUGAGUGGUUGAACUUGAGCAAGCCACGUGACGAGAGAGAGCAGCGGACGGUUGAUGUACGAUACAGACGGGAGGGCGUCGAGCAGACAAACAAACAACGGUAAAGCUGUCGAUGCUAGAUAAUUACUGUAAAAGUUUUCUUGCAUUUAUCUGUUAAUAUAUUGAGUUUUGUUUUAGAAGGGAUCCAUUUAUGAAGCCAUUUUAUUAUUAUUAUUAUCAUUUACGGAUAUAUACUUAACGUUGCCUUUCGCUUUUUAAUGGCUGUUCAAAAAAGUAUUUCGGAGUUCAUAUGUUAUAUAUGUGACUUGUAUAUGAAGUUGAAUCACUUAAAAUUGAAUGUAAGUACUUCUUGUUAGUGUUCAAUGUUUUAUGCAUGUGUACUGUGAGUUAUAGCAUAAUAUGAAGUUGUAUUUUGUGCACUUAAUAAGUUUUAAAUGAUGUUGAAAUGUUUCUUUGUAUCGAUAUAGCAUGCUAGUCUACUGAGGUAAAUGAGAUCAGUUUUUCCUCUCAUAUUAUUGUCUUCUUUAAUUUUCUAAUGAUAACGUGAAGAACAGUAUUUAGGAAUCUUGCUUUUAAUGGUUUUUUAACAUCUCAUGAAGACUUUGGUUUAUUUUUUUUAUGAAAUAAUAUGUUCAAGAAGCUUUAUGUAAAACUAUGAUAUGUUGUAUUUCACUUGAAAUGUAUUGGGGUUAUUUUGUACUUCCAAUAAUUAGUUUUAAAUGUUUACAGAAUGUUAUUUGGUCAAUAAAGCAAGCAAUUUAUGCAA